UUCCAGUGACUUGCGUAUAUCAUCAGUUCCUGAUUCCAUCCAUGAAGGUCCUGUGUUCCUCCUGUCCCCAACAGGAACUGCAUGGACCAACAGCUGCUACUGCAUGACAAAGGGAUGAAAAUGCUGUACCUAUCAUUGGCGAUAUUGACAGAGUAUGUUUCCAGUGCUUCAGGACUGAUGUUUCCUAGACCUGAAACAGCGGCAUUAGAAAACCUGUUCACCACUGACCAUGGAGCAGCAAGACAAACUGCAGAGUGUGCUGCUGAAAACCACAACUACCGCUUUAAGUAAUAAGGACAUGAGGUUUUGGAAGAGAAUUGUGAUGACAUAGCAUUUUUCCUUCAAGAAAUGUUACAUAAGAAGCUAAUUUUGGUUUCCUUAGCUGAUUUUAUUUGUUUAUAAUGAAAGCCAUCCUAAAUGCAGUCAGUUCUGAUUAGGACUUGUAAUACUCAUUUACAGACACUCAAUUUGCUCUAUUCCUAUAGUAAGAUAGGACCUUCGCAUGUAGCACUGGUGAAUCGUUCACAAGAAAUAUACCCCGGCAAGUUUGUUUUCAGAAUUUUUUUUUUUUACUGCAGCAAGUCCUAACAUUAUCAGUAUUUCAAAACAUUCAAAGCAAAGGACCAAGGUUAAAAGAUGAAAAGUUAAUAUAAGCAGAAAGAAUUUGAUUUCCAAGUUACACACAGUAUGAAUAUGCAUUUUCAUGGGAAACUAUGAUUUAAACUCUUGUGAACAUAAAUAUAACUCUGAAAUAUCAAUUAAAGCGUUUAUGGGGCACUGGCUCCACUCUGGACAAGUGUAAUCCUUGUCAUUAAAAGGAAGACAAACACUCUGAAGCCUUCCCCAGAAGUUACACAAAAUAACAAGCCCCUCACUAAUGUGGGGCUAUGCUCUGUAUAGUUCAGCAGCUCUGAACAAUACAAUUGGACGUAUAUCAACAUAUCCAGCUGCAAGGAUCAGCAGGACACACCCUGUGGAUCCAAGAGCAGUAAUCCAGGGGAUGGCAUCAACUUUUGCCUAAAGCUCAGAUAAACUAUUUACUAGUCAGUAAUGAGCAACUAAAACUGCUUGGUUUUUAAAAUGUGUGUGCUUGCCAAGUGGGUAACUUACCUCACUCAAUGCAUCUUUGUACAAGCUAUGUUAACUCAGAGUCCAAUGAGUAUGUAUAUCUCAAGCUAUAAAAAUGCGCUCAAAUGCUUCCAGAUAGGGUUGUGCUGGUUUUUUUUUCCUCCUCCUAAAAGUAAAAAAUGCUGUCUUGCAAUGAGAAAAAAAAAAAAUCACUGAGCUUCAG
rnacentral:lncRNA from 1 species